rnacentral:lncRNA from 1 species
AGAAGGAGGGGGACUAGGCCAAAACCUCCUUAAGAACUAGAAAAUAUAAAACUAGGUUUACCCAAACUAUUGUCAUCAAAAAAACUUCUAAUUUCUGAUGGAAUGUCAAACCAAAUGGUAAACCUAUCAAGAUUCAGCCCAAUGUUUGCUAAUCCAUCAGCACAUUAAUUUCCUUCCCUAUAAACAUGUGAAACCACAAAAUUCAUAUUUCUAGUUAGUAAGUUACAAUUCAUCCACUUGUUACUUAGUUCCCAAGGCACUAAUUCGGAUGACUUAAAGGCCAUAACCACAAGAGUUGAGUGUGUCUCUAGCCAAAGGUUCUUCCAAUUCCUACUAUUGGCUAUUUCAAUAGCUGUCAUGGCUCCACAAAGUUCAGCCAUAAAAGCUGACUUUAGGCCUAU